UAUGUAGGGUGCAAGCGUUAAUCGGAAUUACUGGGCGUAAAGCGUGCGCAGGCGGUUUUGUAAGUCUGACGUGAAAUCCCCGGGCUUAACCUGGGAAUUGCGUUGGAGACUGCAAGGCUAGAAUCUGGCAGAGGGGGGUAGAAUUCCACGUGUAGCAGUGAAAUGCGUAGAGAUGUGGAGGAACACCGAUGGCGAAGGCAGCCCCCUGGGUCAAGAUUGACGCUCAUGCACGAAAGCGUGGGGAGCAAACAGG
rnacentral:rRNA from 1 species